rnacentral:rRNA from 1 species
GCUAACUUCGGGCCAGCAGCGGCGGUAAUACGAAGGGGGGUAGCGGUGUUCGGAAGUACUGGGCGUAAAGCGCGCGCAGGCGGGCCUCCAAGUCAGUGGUGAAAGCCCGGAGCUCAACUCCGGAAUUGCCAUUGAAACUGUGGGACUUGAGUGUGAGAGAGGUGAGUGGAAUUCCCAGUGUAGAGGUGAAAUUCGUAGAUAUUGGGAAGAACACCGGUGGCGAAGGCGGCUCACUGGCUCAUUACUGACGCUCAGGCGCGACAGCGUGGGGAUCAAACAGGAUUAGAUACCCUGGUAGUC